CAGUAACAAAGUCUGGUGCCAGCAGCCGCGGUAAUUCCAGCUCCAAUAGCGUAUAUUAAAGUUGUUGCAGUUAAAAAGCUCGUAGUUAAUUUUCUGUUAAUUUUUAUAUACAAUGCUACGGUAUUUAUAUAAUAUUAACAUAAUUCAUAUUACUUUUUAGUAUAUGAAACUUUACUUUGAGAAAAUUAGAGUGCUUAAAGCAGGCUAUUGCCUUGAAUACUCCAGCAUGGAAUAAUAUUAAGGAUUAUUAUUCUUCUUAUUGGUUCUAUAAUAAUAAUAAUGAUUAAUAGGGACAGUUGGGGGCAUUUGUAUUUAACAGUCAGAGGUGAAAUUCUUAGAUUUGUUAAAGACAAACUACAGGUGAAGCAUUUGCCAAGGAUGUUUUCAUUAAUCAAGAACGAAAGUUAGGGGAUCGAAGACGAUCAGAUACCGUCGUAGUCUUAACCAUAAACUAUGCCAACUAGAGAUUGGAGGUUGUU
rnacentral:rRNA from 1 species